GAUGAACGCUAGCGGGAGGCCUAACACAUGCAAGCUGAGCGGUAGAGUCUCUUCGGAGACUUGAGAGCGGCGUACGGGCGCGGAACACGUGUGCAACCUGCCUUUAUCAGGGGGAUAGCCUUUCGAAAGGAAGAUUAAUACCCCAUAAUAUAUUGAUUGGCAUCAAUUGAUAUUGAAAACUGAGGUGGAUAAAGAUGGGCACGCGCAAGACUAGAUAGUUGGUGAGGUAACGGCUCACCAAGUCGAUGAUCUUUAGGGGGCCUGAGAGGGUGAUCCCCCACACUGGUACUGAGACACGGACCAGACUCCUACGGGAGGCAGCAGUGAGGAAUAUUGGACAAUGGGUUAGCGCCUGAUCCAGCCAUCCCGCGUGAAGGACGACGGCCCUAUGGGUUGUAAACUUCUUUUGUACAGGGAUAAACCUAUCUACGUGUAGAUAGCUGAAGGUACUGUACGAAUAAGCACCGGCUAACUCCGUGCCAGCCGCCGCGGUAAGAC
rnacentral:rRNA from 1 species